UUUUGAAAGAGGAAGCGGGAGAAUGAUCUGUCAGUGACCGGUGCUUCGAUUAGCCUUAGGUGAGUUUAUUGUUGGAGAACAUAUUCAAUUUUAUGUUUGCCAUGACAUAGACGAAGUGAUCCCUUAGUCCUUCGGAAGAUCUCGUUGACCCAGCUGAAACGGAUUUAAUAUCUCAUAUUCAUGAAUGAUAUGCUACGAGCUGCAGCCACAAUAGGUCCUUACAUUUUCGUGGAGUGUAUACUUGUAUAUAUUUACAUUUGUAAUUAGCAAAAUAUUAAUUGGUUUGAAAUCAG
rnacentral:misc_RNA from 1 species